rnacentral:rRNA from 1 species
GAUCAACGCUGGCGGCGUGCUUAACACAUGCAAGUUGAACGGAGCAGGUUUAUAGCAAUAUGAACUUGCUUAGUAGCGGACGGGUGAGUAACGCGUGAGCAAUCUGCCUUUGUGAGGGGGACAACAGCCGGAAACGGCUGCUAAUACCGCAUGAGACCACGGCUCCGAGUGGAGCAGGGGUAAAAGAUUUAUCGCACAAAGAUGAGCUCGCGUCCCAUUAGCUAGUUGGCGGGGUAACGGCCCACAAAGGCGACGAUGGGUAGCCGACCUGAGAGGGUGAUCGGCCACAUUGGGACUGAGACACGGCCCAAACUCCGACGGGAGGCAGCAGUGGGGAAUAUUGGACAAUGGGCGCAAGCCUGAUCCAGCCAUGCCGCGUGAGUGAUGAAGGCCUUAGGGUUGUAAAGCUCUUUCGUCCGGGACGAUAAUGACGGUACCGGAAGAAGAAGCCCCGGCUAACUUCGUGCCAGCCGCCGCUGUAAAAC